rnacentral:rRNA from 1 species
CAGCAGCCGCGGGAAUACGUAUGGAGCGAGCGUUGUCCGGAAUUAUUGGGCGUAAAGGGCUCGCAGGCGGCUUCUUAAGUCUGAUGUGAAAGCCCCCGGCUCAACCGGGGAGGGUCAUUGGAAACUGGGAAACUUGAGUGCAGAAGAGGAGAGUGGAAUUCCACGUGUAGCGGUGAAAUGCGUAGAGAUGUGGAGGAACACCAGUGGCGAAGGCGACUCUCUGGUCUGUAACUGACGCUGAGGAGCGAAAGCGUGGGGAGCGAACAGGAUUAGAUACCCCUGUAGUCCCUGUCUCUUAUAC